rnacentral:rRNA from 1 species
AACGAACGCUGGCGGCGUGCUUAACACAUGCAAGUCGAACGAAGUGGCGAACGGGUGAGUAACGCGUAAUCAACCUGCCCUUCAGAGGGGGACAACAGUUGGAACCGACUGCUAAUACCGCAUACUGAAGGAGGGGAUUGCGGUGGAUUAGCUCGGUGGAGGGGUAACGGCCCACCAAGGCGAUGAUCAGUAGGCUGUCUGAGAGGAUGGACCGCCACAGUGGGACUGAGAAACCGCACAGAACCCUACGGGAGGCAGCAGUGGGGAAAUUUCCGAAAUGGACGAAAGUCUGACUGAGCAACGCCGCGGGAGUGAGGUCGGCCUUCGGGUUGGUAAGCUCCGUUAAUCGGGACGCGGUACCCGAAGAGAAAGCCACGGCUAACUACGUGCCAGCAGCCGCGGUAAUAC